UACGUAGGGUGCAAGCGUUAUUCGGAAUUACUGGGCGUAAAGCGCACGUAGGCGGCCUUGUAAGUCAGGGGUGAAAUCCCACGGCUCAACCGUGGAACUGCCUUUGAAACUGCAGGGCUUGAAUCCUGGAGAGGGUGGCUGAAUUCCUGGUGUAGGAGUGAAAUCCGUAGAUAUCAGGAGGAACACCGGUGGCGAAGGCGGCCACCUGGACAGGUAUUGACGCUGAGGUGCGAAAGUGUGGGGAGCAAACAGGAUUAGAUACCCUGGUAGUCCCU
rnacentral:rRNA from 1 species